rnacentral:rRNA from 1 species
CCUGCCCUUUGUACACACCGCCCGUCACUACUACCGAUUGAAUGGCUUAGUGAGGCUUCCGGAUUGGUUUAAAGAAGGGGGCAACCUCAUCUUGGAACUGAAAAGCUAGUCAAACUUGGUCAUUUAGAGG